ensembl:lincRNA
CCACGGGUAGGGUUACAAGAACCAUUCAAUCUUGACUCAAGUUACACAUGUACUGUAGUUGCAUGGUAAAUGAGAAAAUUAAGAGAUUUUACCUAUUAAAGUAGGUCUUCUUAAAACUCUUUAUGUGACUCAUUUUCAGAGCACAACUACCGAAAAGUGCAGUACACACCAUAAGCAGCCAGAAGUCUCUGAAAAAAAUGUUUAAGACAGGAGCAAAUUACCACUCAUCCGAGAGUUCACUUGGCACCCAAAAUCCAGUGUAAAGAAAGACUCAGUAGUUUUGGUAGUGUUGUAGCAGAGAAGUGAGCCAAGUCCGAAAAUCAUAAACCGAAGUCAAGCCAAAAGUUCAAAAGCCAAAAUACAAAUGAGAGCUGUAAACACACGGCAAAAGUCGUAAACCAAAAGUGCGCAUACGCAGAAAGUCCGAAAGUCGAAAGAUUGAACUCCAAUAACGAGAUCGGGGAGAACAGCAAAUGUCUAACUGGUAUCGAGCAUGUUUGAGAACUGACCAGCUUGCCACAGAACCUGUAUGCAAAUCCAAGUUUCCGCAAAGUUGGGACCAGUGGCCCCAGCACGCCAUCCUACCACAGCACCUCCCACAGGAGACCCUGGGAUAGAAGGUAGUGGGCUUUCUCCAAGUCAACAAAACAUGUGCACAGGCAUGGCAACCUCCCCACGCCUCAUCAAACAUCACAGGGAUGAUGUUUCCAGACGUACAGUAGAUCCCAAACAUUGGGAAGACCAUGUUUUCUCUUCUGCUGCUCUAAGGCUGUGGAAUAAUCUUCCAGCCAUUGUUACAUCAUAGAGGUCAGUCAAACACUUUUUGUGCACUUACAUUUCAUGCUACAGUAUGUAAUUAAUUGUACUAAAUUGUGUAUUAACAUUUUGCUUAUGGUUUCUUUUACAGUACCAUGCCUUGAGAUACUGUCAUUAGAGACAUCGGAAAAAUAGACCAUUUUUAUUACUACUCCUACUGUGAAGAUGAUGAUGUAUAGCCUAUGAGAGGUACAUUAAAUUGUAAAUGGCAUGUUUAAAAUAGCACAAUAUAAGAAGCCUUUAGAGCCUGUGUAAAAGAAUUAAAAAUCUUUGACAGCAUUUUCAUACUGUACCUUCCACCCUAAAACUGCCUUUGUUCAAAACAAAACAAUAGAAUAGACCAAAAAAACAAAGUACAGUAUCUGCAAACCCUAUUGUCACACUUUAUUAUGUUUCUUGCUAUUCCACUUAGGGUUUUGUUUUUUCUAAUUAGCUAAACUAAAAGCGCUCUGUGUGCUAAAACUAUUAUCUUUGAUCAGGUGACUAUUCAAGCAUUUUAUUAAAUUCCCUGAUUGAAUUGCUAAAUCUGAGACAAGCUACAUCAAUAAUUUCUGAACAGUGUUAACAUUUGAAUCUUGCCAUAAAUAAUUACAGUUUUAAACAGUGCCAAAUCACACUUUAAAAGUAAUCAGCUAGAGCUAAUGCAAUUAAAUUCUUUUAGUGCUCCUGUGUGAAAGUCUGAACAACACAUACAGUCCCUUCAAUUAUAAACUAUUCUAGCGCAGUGACAUCAGCUGGUCUGACAGGGUCGCAUGUCUGUUUCUUUGUUUUCAAGAGCUGUUUUCUUUUCCUUCAGAUCUCUUUACUUUUGCCUUUCACUUUUAUCUGCGGGAGUGCUGAUGAGGUGUAAAUGAGGAUUUAAUUGGUACAGCCCCCUAUGCUUUUAUAAAUGUUUGAAGUUUACCCUUGUCAUUGGUGUUUUUAUGUUUUUUUUUUUUAAUCUUGGCUCAAAGAUGACUCAAAACCUAUUUUGCCUGCUGACUUCAUUUGGCUGCUAGUAUCUUAGUAUAAUUUAAAGUAAAUUAGCACAGGAACAAAAAAAAAACACAUCUUUCAUCCUUGACAGAACAUACAGUACAGUAAGUAGACUAAAGAAGCAGAUGUCUUGAGGAACAAGUGAACUGACAAAGUCUACAUUUGGUUCAGCAGUGUCCACAAUACAAGGCUUUGUCGUGUCCUGAAUCUUUUAAAGCAGAAAGACAACUGGUUGUUUUCUUAAUAUUCUGAAUUUGACGGUCAAGUUUUCAAUUGGUUACCUGAAUCUUGAAACUAUGAGGCUCGGCCAGACCUUGCUUUUUGGGGGCCCUAGAGAGGACCCUCCAGAUGAAGAUUUGCACAUACUGUACAGUACACUACUAUCAUCUGCUCCCAGCACAACCUUUUAUUUUACUAUUGAGAACAAUUCAAUUAAUCAUACAGAGUAACCAGAAAACGUAUUCUCCAGCUUUGAAGCACACAUAAUAAAGUUACAAACAAGAAGCACAAAUUCUACAUGGAUACCAUGUAUUUUAAUAUUUAAAGCCAUAAACAGGAACAUUAAUAACAAUAAAUAAUGAAGAACAGGUUACUCUGUUACUUCAAAAUAAUAGCAAAUCGUAGCUUAAAAAGCACUGCACUGAAACUGUAAAAAGAAAUAGAAAUGAGUAAUAAGUGCACUCACUGACAAGGGAGCUGAGAUCAGUGAAGCCGAGUAGAUGGGAAAGUUCUGUUUAACAAAAAACUUCCUAUAAAUCAAUUCGCCUAGAUUUCGAGAGGCAAAUUCCUCAAUUGCAUCCUUAUACGACAGUAGUCGACCCACUGCGUGACUGAUGCUGACGAUGGCCAGUCUUGUGCCAGGGCUGUCCUCAUGUUUUCAUCAACUCCGACUCCGAAAAGCUCUCGUCUGCUCCUCCUGCCGCUGUCCCUGGGAGAGCGACUGCUAUCCGAAGGGCUAGAGGUCGGGUUCACAAUACCCCCCUCCCCCAUUUAAUGAAAUACUUUUAGAGACCGCAAGGAAAAAAC